UCUAGAUCCUACAAGCAAGCAGAUCUAUCAUAUAAUUUUAAAUGAAGAUUUAUCUAUUAUAGUAAUUUAUUCUAAUAACGAAAAAAAAAAACUUUGGAUCAAAAAAUAUUUUCUUCUGAUGAGGUUUAUGAAUAUUAAAGUCUGUUGAAGUUUGGACAUUAUGUGUUGGUAUACAAUUUAUUUAUGAUGUUACAGUAGUU